rnacentral:rRNA from 1 species
CGACUGCUAUCGGGGUGGCGCUAAGCCAUGGGAGUCGCACAUCCCACCGCCGUGGGGUGUGGCGAACGGCUGAGUAACACGUGGCUAACCUACCCUCGGGACGGGGACAACUCCGGGAAACUGGAGCUUAUCCCCGAUAGGCGGGGAGUCCUGGAACGGUUCUCCGCCCAAAGGGAUAGAAGGGGGUUAUCGCCUUCUAUCCGCCCGAGGAUGGGGCUGCGUCCCAUCAGGUUGUUGGCGGGGUAACGGCCCGCCAAGCCUAUAACGGGUAGGGGCCGUGAGAGCGGGAGCCCCCAGAUGGGCACUGAGACAAGGGCCCAGGCCCUACGGGGCGCACCAGGCGGGAAACCUCCGCAAUGCGGUAACCCGUGACAGGGUCACCCCGAGUGCUCCCCUUAUGGGGAGCUUUUCCCCGCUGCAGGAAGGCGGGGGUAAUAUGUGGGGGGCAAGACUGGUGUCAGCCGCCGCGGUAAUACCAGCCCCACGAGUGGUCGGGACGGUUAUUGGGCCUAAAGCGCCCGUAGCCGGCCCAGCAAGUUCCUGCCUAAAUCACCGGGCUCAACCCGGUGACUGGUGGGAAUACUGCUGGGCUAGGAGGCGGGAGAGGCCGGGGGUACUCCUAGGGUAGGGGCGAAAUCCUAUAAUCCUAGGAGGACCACCAGUGGCGAAGGCGCCCGGCUGGAACGCGCUCGACGGUGAGGGGCGAAAGCUGGGGGAGCAAACCGGAUUAGAUACCCGGGUAGUCCCAGCUGUAAACGAUGCGGACUAGGUGUUGGACGGACCUAGGGUCCGUCCAGUGCCGCAGGGAAGCCGUUAAGUCCGCCGCCUGGGGAGUACGGCCGCAAGGCUGAAACUUAAAGGAAUUGGCGGGGGAGCACCACAAGGGGUGGAGCCUGCGGCUUAAUUGGAGUCAACGCCGGGAACUUUACCGGGGGCGACAGCAGGAUGACGGCCAGGCUAAUGACCUUGCCCGACGCGCUGAGAGGAGGUGCACGGCCGUCGCCAGCUCGUGCCGUGAGGUGUCUGGUUAAGUCCAGCAACGAGCGAGACCCCCGCCCCUAAUUGCUACCCGCUCCUUCGGGAGCGGGGCACAUUAGGGGGACUGCCGGCGUCUAAGCCGGAGGAAGGUGGGGGCCACGGCAGGUCAGCAUGCCCCGAAACCCCCGGGCUGCACGCGGGCUACAAUGGCUGGGACAGCGGGAACCGACCUCGAAAGAGGGAGGUAAUCCCUCAAACCCAGCCGCAGUUGGGAUCGAGGACUGAAACCCGUCCUCGUGAACGAGGAAUCCCUAGUAACCGCGCGUCAUCAUCGCGCGGUGAAUACGUCCCUGCUCCUUGCACACACCGCCCGUCGCUCCACCCGAGUGGGGAGAGGGUGAGGCCCUGCUCCGAAUGGGGUAGGGUCGAACCCUCUCCCUGCGAGGGGGGAG